rnacentral:SRP_RNA from 1 species
GCCGGGCACGGUGGUGGGUGCCUGUAAUCCCAGCUACUAGGGAAGCUGAGGCAGGAGAAUCACUUGAACCUGGGAGGCUGAGGUUGCAGUGAGCUGAGAUCACACCACUGCACUCCAGCCUGGGUGACAGAGUGAGACUCUGUCUCCA